CCCGCUGAACUUAAGCAUAUCAAUAAGCGGAGGAAAAGAAACUAACAAGGAUUCCCCUAGUAACUGCGAGUGAAGCGGGAAAAGCUCAAAUUUAAAAUCUGGCGGUCUUUGGCCGUCCGAGUUGUAAUCUAGAGAAGUAAUGCCCGUGCUGGACCGUGUAUAAGUCUCCUGGGAUGGGGCGUCAUAGAGGGUGAGAAUCCCGUCUUUGACACGGACUACCAGUGCAUUGUGGUAUGCUCUCAAAGAGUCGAGUUGUUUGGGAAUGCAGCUCAAAAUGGGUGGUAAAUUCCAUCUAAAGCUAAAUAUUGGCGAGAGACCGAUAGCGAACAAGUACCGUGAGGGAAAGAUGAAAAGAACUUUGGAAAGAGAGUUAAACAGUACGUGAAAUUGCUGAAAGGGAAACGCUUGAAGUCAGUCGCGUUGGCCAGGGAUCAGCCUUGCUUUUGCAUGGUGUACUUUCUGGUUGACGGGUCAGCAUCAAUUUUGACCGCUGGAAAAGGGCCUGGGGAAUGUGGCAGCUUCGGCUGUGUUAUAGCCCCUGGUCACAUACGGCGGUUGGGAUUGAGGAACUCAGCACGCCGCAAGGCCGGGUUUCGACCACGUUCGUGCUUAGGAUGCUGUGCAUAAUGGCUUUAAGCGACCCGUCUUGAAACACGG
rnacentral:rRNA from 1 species